rnacentral:tRNA from 1 species
UCCCUGGUAGCUCAGAUGGUAAAGAAUCUGCCUGCAGUGCAGGAGACCUGGGUUUGAUUCCUGGGUUGGGAA